rnacentral:misc_RNA from 1 species
UCCGGGUUGUACCCGGCGGUCUCGCCAGAGAGGUAACUAGGGACAAGGGUUGCGCUCGUUGCGGGACUUAACCCAACAUCUCACGACACGAGCUGACGACAGCCAUGCAGCACCUGUCACUCGAUUCCCGAAGGCACUCCUCUAUUUCUAGAGGAUUCCGAGGAUGUCAAGAGUAGGUAAGGUUCUUCGCGUUGCAUCGAAUUAAACCACAUGCUCCACCGCUUGUGCGAGCCCCCGUCAAUUCCUUUGAGUUUCAGCCUUGCGGCCGUACUCCCCAGGCGGGGCACUUCAUGCGUUAGCGCCGGUACUCCAAGGGUCGCUCCCCGGAGCACCUAGUGCCCAUCGUUUACGGCGUGGACUAC